AUGGUGACAUUGCUGCUGUCAAAAAACUUCUUAAUGAGGUCUGUUUCUUUCAAAUGAUGCACCUCUAUGGUUCUGUUUUUUGAGGGAAGUAGUAUUCAUGGAUUUCUAUGAAUGCACGGUGUGGAUGCUAAUUACUGAGAUAAGCAGGGACUGUCUUUAUUGCAUUUGGCGGCAGUUUUCAAUCAAACCGAUAUAGUUUUCAUUCUCAUGGAUUCGGGGGAAAAUCUGGAGUAUAAAAAUGGACAAGGAGAAACACCUUUAGAUUGUGCUCCAGCUACAUUGCAAUACAAAAUGAAAAUGAAGAUGCAAGAAAGUGGAGCAGUGGACCAAAGGAUUUGAAUAGUCUAAUACUUUUAUUUGUAGUCUUCUUAUGUGGUGCCCCAAAGAAUCAAUGCAAAAAUCUUGGUGUGGAGGCUGGUGGAAAUGGUUCUAUGCCUAAAAAGAUGUUUAUGGGAAGGCUGGUGGAAAAGGUUCUGCCAAGAAAGAUCUUGGUAGUGGGAGAUCAUCGGAAAAUCACUAUCGAAUUUGCCCGAAUAUUAUGAUAAUUAGUUUAUUUUGUUAGUUUUCUGAUUUAUACGAAUAUUAUUGAAAUAUUUAUGACUUUGUACGAAAACUAAUUAUCGAUUGUACGGAUAUUAUCAUGAUAUGUGUUGUUUAAUUAAUUUGUGUUUUAUUAAAUUCAAAUUUUAUUUAUUUA